GACGAACGCUGGCGGCGUGCUUAACACAUGCAAGUCGAACGGAAAGGCCCUGCUUGCAGGGUACUCGCGUGGGGAACGGGUGAGUAACACGCGGGUGAUCUGCCCUGCACUUCGGGAUAAGCCUUGGGAAAUGGGGCGAUUACCGCGGAGGAGCCAUCUUGAGUGUGAUGGUUGGAUGGUUUGUGCGGUGUGGGAUGGGCUGGCGGCCUAUCAGCUUGUUGGUGGGUUAAUGGCUUACCAAGGCGGGGACGGGUAGCCGGCCUGAGAGGGUGGGCGGCCACAUUGGGACUGAGAUACGGCCCAGACUCCUACGGGAGGCAGCAGUGGGGAAUAUUGCACAAUGGGCGGAAGCCUGAUACAGCGACGCCGCGUGGGGGAUGACGGCCUUCGGGUUGUAAACUCCUUUCGCCUGGGACGAAGCUUUUGUGACGGUACCUGGAUAAGAAGCACCGGCUAACUACGUG
rnacentral:rRNA from 1 species